AAAACCGGAAGAGGCGCGUCGGCCAGGUAACGUGUGCGAGGAACCCGUCCUACGACCACACGCGAGGGGGAACGACGCCGAGAUGGCGCGCUGUCUGGUAAGGCGCGUCAUCGGCUGCAGGGGCUGAAUCCCCUGGGCUGUCACCCGAAACGACGGCAGUCGAACGUUUCGCAAGGUGGAGCGCUUCUGGGUGU
rfam:Cronobacter sakazakii ATCC BAA-894, complete genome.